GCCGCUGUGGUGGAAUGGUAGACACAAGGGACUCAAAAUCCCUCGAGGGCAACUUCAUGUCAGUUCGACUCUGACCAGCGGUACCA
rnacentral:tRNA from 1 species